GCCUGCCCUGCUCAGCAAGUGGAAAAGGAUGAAUUAAUGUAAUAUAUUUGUUCAUAACUCCUUCACACAUACUGUAGCAUAGUAAAUUAUUAUACUUCCAAUAGCACCCACAGAUUAAUUAAGCAGAGAAAGUAACAACAUAUAUAGUUAUAGAAAACGUAAACUAAGAAAUUAAGAAGCCUAAGACAUCACACAAGUCCACGUACUAGCGGAAAUUGCACAAGUACUGGAGGCUGCAUUAUUAUACGUACAAAUUAUCACAUAAUGCUUUAAUUAAUUCUUUCAAACACAAACACAGCUGCUUAAUUUGAUCAUUAACAGUUGCAUGGGUUACAAUUGCAGUUUGGUCCGCACUUGCAGCCAUGCCCAUGCCCUCCUUCAGCUGCAAUGCUCAUCUCUGAGAACCUGUAAUUAAGGAAAUUGCACAACUUAUAAUAAACCAAUUAAAUUGAAACAAAUCUAUUUUUCAUCAAACUAACUAAUUACAUCUUUGGUGCAGCCCCAACCCCAUCAAUGAUGGUUGCCUUCUCCACAUCAGGGUACAUUCCACAUCUGCAAUUAAUUAAAUUUAGACAAAAAUUAAUUAGUUAGUAGCUCUAGCUAUAUAUAACAAGUAUCUAUCUAUCUAAAAUUUACCCACCCUCCACAGCCAUUGCCGCACUUGCAGCCAGAACCACAGCCACAGUUUCCUGAGCAGCAAGACAUUUUUGUAGAAUGAAAAAUAAGAGAAUUACUGACUAAGAAGGUUAUUUAUACUAGACUAGACUAAUCAGCUCUAUUUAUAAUGGAAGGAAGGAGGAGAUGAAGCCUGGCUAUCCACCGUCCA
rnacentral:lncRNA from 1 species